rnacentral:lncRNA from 1 species
GUAUUAUUCAUUGAAUACAAAUUAACCAAUUUAUUUGGUCACAAACAACCAAAUAAUUGGUCACAAACACCUCCACGUCCCAUCCCACCUACCCCAACCACCUCUCGCCACGACCACCGUCAUGUCAACAGACUGCAAAACCAUCACCACACACCACAUCAACCCAAAAUCACCGUCACAAUAACCAAACCACCCCCAUCAAUGCAAAAUCACCGUCACAGUAACAACACCAGCACUACCACACAAACUCCGAAAUCAACAACCUACACCGUCGCCAGAAACUACCACGACCGUCGCCACCAACACACUAACAACACCCAAAUCAACCACAUAGAAAGCAGAAGCAACAAAAAGAUCAGAUUCGAUAGUAAUCACACUCAUUCUCAGCCCACGGGGACGAGGAGAAAUGGUAAAUCUGCAGCGCCGGUGUCGCCGGAGCAUGUGGCACACACUGAUUCACGGCUUCUUCACAAAGCAAGUCGCCAGAGUGGUGGAUCAGCUCCGCGGUGUCAUUUCAUCGCCGCAAAUCACGAUCAUUGGUAGGAGAUGUGGGACACUGCGCUGCGUUAUGCGGUGCUACCUACAUGGUGGCGACGGCGCGGUGUCAUCAUUUGAAGUGGCAUGGGUAGGUCUCUGGCGAGCGACGAGCAGAUGGAAUGGAAGAAAGGGAAAAGAUGGAGAGCGAUGGUCGAAGACUCGCCGGAAGAGAGGGAGAGUGAAGAUGAGACUGUGAAAGUGAAAUGAAUAGGGUUUCGAAUUUUGGUUAAUAAAAAUAUUGGUUAAAAUAAAAUUUCUGAUUUUUGAAUUGUUAAACUUGCCAUUUGAUUUUAGAAUGUUGGAUUUUUAAUGUAUGAUUUUGUGUAAUUUCCACUACACACA